rnacentral:rRNA from 1 species
AGAAUCAACGCUGGCGGCGUGCCUAACACAUGCAAGUCGAACGAGAAAGUGGAGCAAUCCAUGAGUAAAGUGGCGCACGGGUGAGUAACACGUGACUAACCUACCCUCGAGUGGGGAAUAACUUCGGGAAACCGAGGCUAAUACCGCAUAAUACCUUCGGGUCAAAGGAGCAAUUCGCUUAAGGAGGGGGUCGCGGCCGAUUAGUUAGUUGGCGGGGUAAUGGCCCACCAAGACUAUGAUCGGUAU